rnacentral:lncRNA from 1 species
UUCAGUGUUGAAUUGAUGAACAUAGGAGAGAGCUCAGGCUAACUUGGAAGUCAUUUAUGUGUAAGCACAGAUACGCAGAUUACGUGUUGCUCCGGGUUCUUUUGCCUUGACGCCAUAUCUGCCCCCUCAGUCUCUCCAGGACACAAUGUGGAAAACAUGGCUACUGACACGUUGGCAUAACUGCCAGAAUAGCUUUAUUCAUCAGAAAGACAGGGACUGUCCUA